rnacentral:rRNA from 1 species
GACGAACGCUGGCGGCGUGCUUAACACAUGCAAGUCGAACGGAAAGGCCCUGCUUUUGUGGGGUGCUCGAGUGGCGAACGGGUGAGUAACACGUGAGUAACCUGCCCUUGACUUUGGGAUAACUUCAGGAAACUGGGGCUAAUACCGGAUAGGAGCUCCUGCUGCAUGGUGGGGGUUGGAAAGUUUCGGCGGUUGGGGAUGGACUCGCGGCUUAUCAGCUUGUUGGUGGGGUAGUGGCUUACCAAGGCUUUGACGGGUAGCCGGCCUGAGAGGGUGAACGGCCACAAUGGGCCUGAGAUACGGCCCAGAAUCCUACGGGAGGCAGCAGUGGGGAAUAUUGCACAAUGGGCGGAAGCCUGAUGCAGCAACGCCGCGUGCGGGAUGACGGCCUUCGGGUUGUAAACAGCUUUCGCCUGUGACGAAGCGUGAGUGACGGUAAUGGGUAAAGAAGCACCGGCUAACUACGUG